GGGGGGAGCAAGCGUUGUUCGGAUUUACUGGGCGUAAAGGGCGCGUAGGCGGCCACCGCAAGUCGACUGUGAAAUCUCCGGGCUUAACCCGGAAAGGUCAGCCGAUACUGCGGGGCUAGAGUGCAGAAGGGGCAACUGGAAUUCUCGGUGUAGCGGUGAAAUGCGUAGAUAUCGAGAGGAACACCUGCGGCGAAGGCGGGUUGCCGGGCUGACACUGACGCUGAGGCGCGAAAGCUAGGAGAGCGAACGGGAUUAGAUACCCCGGUAGUCCUAGCCUUAAACGAUGAAUGCUUGGUGUCUGGGGUUUUAUAGUCCCCGGGUGCCGUCGCUAACGCUUUAAGCAUUCCGCCUGGGGAGUACGGUCGCAAGACUG
rnacentral:rRNA from 1 species